AUUGAACGCUGGCGGCGUGCUUAACACAUGCAAGUCGAUCGGUAACAGGUGUAGCAAUACAUGCUGACGAGAGGCGGACGGGUGAGUAAUGCUUGGGAAUCUGCCUAUUAGUGGGGGACAACCCGGGGAAACUCGGGCUAAUACCGCAUACGCUCUACGGAGGAAAGCCGGGGACCGCAAGGCCUGGCGCUAAUAGAUGAGCCCAAGUCGGAUUAGCUAGUUGGUAGGGUAC
rnacentral:rRNA from 1 species